rnacentral:ncRNA from 2 species
UCUUGCAUGAACCGGUGUUCGUUCCCAGUGCUAUCACAACUUUCAAUCCACCAUCGUUGCAGAUGAGAUGGAAAGUCUGAUAGCUGGUACUGGGUUCGUUCUGAGAUGAUACGGUUAAACACUUGAUCAGGAUAAUACCUGCGAAAGAAUCAUGCCUUCCCUUCUC